ACUCCCGUAGCUCAGAUGGUUAGAGCGCUCAACUUAUAAUUGAGAGGGCGUAUGUUCAAGUCAUACCGGGAGUA
rnacentral:tRNA from 1 species